UAAAAAAAAAGUAUUUCAUAGCUCCCAGGAAGAUAUGCAAACCCAUACACACCAACUUCUCUGUAGAAGAUCUAAGGAAAGGAGAAUAAAAGCAAGAAGGAGUUAAAUCAACCAGAGGUGCUUUUAAGCCAUUAAGGAUGGGAUUUGUCAGCUGUAGGCAGGCAGUGGGAAGAAUAAGCUAGGAGCAGAUGUGAGGUUUCUUCCAGGUGAUACUGGACUCAUUUGGGGUGGUGAUGUUGUCCAUGGGCAGUAAAAGGCAGGCCAGUGAGAAUUAGAGUGAUGGUAAUUUCUGCAGCCCUUAAAGCAGCCUAGAACUACUAGGAAAAUGCAAAGCUACCUUUCAAAACUUCUCCAGGUAUUCUGGGUACUGGAAUUCGCCUCUUCUUUGUGCCAGGAAUUCACGUGGCUGUGUACACAGGGUUCUCUUGGUGCCAUUUCACUCAUUACUUGUAACUUCAGAUGUGCCAAGAAUGCUUUUUGUGAAGGUGCUGCUUUAGCCUGAUACUUGGAAGAGUGAACAGGUCCUUGGGUCAACAAGUUACUUGAAUGUAUAUCAUGUGCCUUCUAUGCUCUUUUUACCAUUUUGCAAACUAAUAAACUUGUCUGAUGGUCCCGUGA